AUCCCGUCCACCGAUUGACUAAGGUUUCCAGAGGAAGGCUCGUCCGCUCUGGGUUAGUCGGGUCCUAAGCUGAGGCCGACAGGCGUAGGCGAUGGAUAACAGGUUGAUAUUCCUGUACCACCUAUAAUCGUUUUAAUCGAUGGGGGGACGCAGUAGGAUAGGCGAAGCGUGCGAUUGGAUUGCACGUCUAAGCAGUAAGGCUGAGUAUUAGGCAAAUCCGGUACUCGUUAA
rnacentral:rRNA from 1 species